UCGAAACCUGCCCAGCAGAGCGACCCGUGAACAUGUUCAACAUCAUGGGUGUUGGGGCGGUUGCUCGGCGCCUUGUGUGCCAGCACGUCCCUCACCCAUGCCGGUGGAGAUCUCACUUGUGGGCAUUCUUCCCCGGCAAAACAACGAAACCCGGCGCGUAAUGCGUCAAGGAAUACAAACUUUAUGUGUGCUCCCUCUUGAUGCCCGGUUAGCCGGGUGUUGGAGCGGUGUCAUGUCUUAACAAUA
rnacentral:rRNA from 1 species